CUUGCCCUAUAUAAGAGGUCCAGCCUGCCCAGUGACAUUGUUCAACGGCCGCGGUAUCCUAACCGUGCGAAGGUAGCGUAAUCACUUGUUCUUUAAAUGAGGACUAGUAUGAAAGGCAUCACGAGAGUCAUACUGUCUCCUUUAUCUAAUCAGUGAAACUAAUUUUCCCGUGAAGAAGCGGGAAUAAAAUUAUAAGACGAGAAGACCCUAUGGAGCUUAAAACAAAUAACACUUGCCUAUCUAACCUAAAAAUUCCAGAAAAAUUUCUCUACUCUGGCAUCAUGAUUAUUAGUUUUCGGUUGGGGUGACCACGGAACAAAAAAUAACUUCCGCAAUGAAAGACACUCUAUUACUAAGUUAAGGACUACAACCCUAUACAUCAACAAAUUGACACCAAUUGACCCAACAUGUUGAUCAAUGAAC
rnacentral:rRNA from 1 species